AUACGGAGGGUGCAAGCGUUAAUCGGAAUUACUGGGCGUAAAGCGCGCGUAGGCGGUUAUUUAAGUCAGAUGUGAAAGCCCCGGGCUCAACCUGGGAACUGCAUUUGAAACUGGCUGACUAGAGUCUAGGAGAGGGGGGUAGAAUUCCGGGUGUAGCGGUGAAAUGCGUAGAUAUCCGGAGGAAUACCAGUGGCGAAGGCGGCCCCCUGGACUAAGACUGACGCUGAGGUGCGAAAGCGUGGGGAGCAAACAGAAUUAGAAACCCCGGUAGUCC
rnacentral:rRNA from 1 species